rnacentral:rRNA from 1 species
CCUACGGGGGGCAGCAGUGAGGAAUAUUGGUCAAUGGACGAGAGUCUGAACCAGCCAAGUAGCGUGAAGGAUGACUGCCCUAUGGGUUGUAAACUUCUUUUAUAUGGGAAUAAAAUGUUCCACGUGUGGGAUUUUGUAUGUACCAUAUGAAUAAGGAUCGGCUAACUCCGUGCCAGCAGCCGCGGUAAUACGGAGGAUCCGAGCGUUAUCCGGAUUUAUUGGGUUUAAAGGGAGCGUAGGUGGAUUGAUAAGUCAGUUGUGAAAGUUUGCGGCUCAACCGUAAAAUUGCAGUUGAAACUGGCAGUCUUGAGUACAGUAGAGGUGGGCGGAAUUCGUGGUGUAGCGGUGAAAUGCUUAGAUAUCACGAAGAACUCCGAUUGCGAAGGCAGUUCACUGGACUGCAACUGACACUGAGGCUCGAAAGUGUGGGUAUCAAACAGGAUUAGAUACCCGUGUAGUC